rnacentral:rRNA from 1 species
UACGUAGGGGGCAAGCGUUGUUCGGAAUUACUGGGCGUAAAGGGCGCGUAGGCGGCACAGCAAGUCGGGAGUGAAAGCCCGGGGCUCAAACCCCGGAAUGGCUUUCGAAACUGCUGAGCUAGAGUACAGAAGGGGCAACCGGAAUUCCCAGUGUAGCGGUGAAAUGCGUAGAUAUUGGGAAGAACACCUGAGGCGAAGGCGGGUGCUGGGCUGAUACUGACGCUGAGGCGCGGAAAG